GACGAACGCUGGCGGCGUGCUUAACACAUGCAAGUCGCACGGAAAGGCCCUGCUUUUGUGGGGUGCUCGAGUGGCGAACGGGUGAGUAACACGUGAGUAACCUGCACUUGACUUUGGGAUAACUUCAGGAAACUGGGGCUAAUACCGGAUAGGAGCUCCUGCUGCAUGGUGGGGGUUGGAAAGUUUCGGCGGUUGGGGAUGGACACGCGGCUUAUCAGCUUGUUGGUGGGCGAGUGGCUUACCAAGGGUUUGACGGGUAGCCGGCCUGAGAGGGUGACCGGCCACAUUGGGACUGAGAUACGGCCCAGACUCCUACGGGAGGCAGCAGUGGGGAAUAUUGCACAAUGGGCGGAAGCCUGAUGCAGCAACGCCGCGUGCGGGAUGACGGCCUUCGGGUUGUAAACCGUUUUCGCCUGUGACGAAGCGUGAGUGACGGUAAUGGGUAAAGAAGCACCGGCUAACUACGUG
rnacentral:rRNA from 1 species